rnacentral:rRNA from 1 species
CAACUCUCAACAACGGAUAUCUUGGCUCCCGUAUCGAUGAAGAACGCAGCGAAAUGCGAUACGUAGUGUGAAUUGCAGAAUUCCGUGAACCAUCGAAUCUUUGAACGCAAAUUGCGCCCGAGGCUUCGGCCAAGGGCAUGUCUGCCUCAGCGUCGGCUA